AGCGCUUUCGUCUAUCGGUUAGGACCGUAGGUUUUCAAUCUAUUAAGAUGGGUUCGAUUCCCAUAGGCGCUACGA
rnacentral:tRNA from 1 species